rnacentral:tRNA from 1 species
GAAGGUCUAGUUCAGUGGUAGAGCACUUGCUUAGCACGCACUAGGUCCUGGGUUCAAUCCCCAGAACCAUCA